GACGAACGCUGGCGGCGUGCUUAACACAUGCAAGUCGAACGGAAAGGCCCUGCUUGCAGGGUGCUCGAGUGGCGAACGGGUGAGUAACACGUGGGUGAUCUGCCCCUUACUUUGGGAUAAGCCUGGGAAACUGGGUCUAAUACUGGAUAGGACCAUGCUGUAGGUGGUGUGGUGGAAAGUUUAGUUUCGGUAAGGGAUGAGCUCGCGGCCUAUCAGCUUGUUGGUGGGGUAAUGGCCUACCAAGGCGUCGACGGGUAGCCGGCCUGAGAGGGUGGACGGCAACAUUGGGACUGAGACACGGGGCAGCAGCCUACGGGAGGCAGCAGUGGGGAAUAGUGCACAAGGGGAGCAAGCCUGAUGCAGCGACGCCGCGUGGGGGAUGACGGUCUUCGGGUUGUAAACUACUUUUAGCCAUGAAGAAGCGCUUGUGGUGACGGUAGUGGUAGAAGAAGCACCGGCUAACUACGUG
rnacentral:rRNA from 1 species